UUGCCAUAUUACUCUAAACACACUCAAACCCCCCUGAUUUUGGAAGCUAGGCAAUGUCAGACCUGGUUGACACUUGGGUGGGAGACUGCAAGGCAUACCAAGAGGCCAGGAAAG
rnacentral:rRNA from 1 species